rnacentral:sRNA from 1 species
AUAAAACUCAUUAUGUGUAAAUAACACACACGGAUCGGCACAUACACCGGGGUGCUCUCAUGCGGUUAACCCAUUUAUAUGAGUAAAUUAUAUGAAUGGUCAGCAGUCAAAGAGUCGGUGUCAUGGGAUCUGUGGAGGCAUAACC